GACGAACGCUGGCGGCGUGCUUAACACAUGCAAGUCGAACGGAAAGGCCCUGCUUUUGUGGGGUGCUCGAGUGGCGAACGGGUGAGUAACACGUGAGUAACCUGCCCUUGACUUUGGGAUAACUUCAGGAAACUGGGGCUAAUACCGGAUAGGAGCUCCUGCUGCAUGGUGGGGGUUGGAAAGUUUCGGCGGUUGGGGAUGGACUCGCGGCUUACCAGCUUGUUGGUGGGGUAGUGGCUUACCAAGGCUUUGACGGGUAGCCGGCCUGAGAGGGUGACCGGCAACAUUGGGACUGAGAUACGGCCCAGACUCCUACGGGAGGCAGCAGUGGGGAAUAUUGCACAAUGGGCGGAAGCCUGAUGCAGCAACGCCGCGUGCGGGAUGACGGCCUUCGGGUUGUAAACCGCUUUCGCCUGUGACGAAGCGUGAGUGACGGUAAUGGGUAAAGAAGCACCGGCUAACUACGUG
rnacentral:rRNA from 1 species